CUCAAUUCCAGUGACAAUUUGUCUGAAAUAUGGCUCUUAUUUUUCAGAAAAAUUGCAUAUUAAGGAAUAAUAAGUAAUAGAAUCUAACAUGCCUAAUUUGGAAUACACAUUUGGGUUUAGUAAAUACAGGUCUGUGGUAUGGGCACAGUUUUAGUAGAAACACACAUAAAAACUAAUUCUUGAUGUUAAAACCAGCCUGGGACGAGUUGGCAGUUUAUUGGAAACAUGCAAAUUUAGGG